rnacentral:rRNA from 1 species
AACCGCGAUAAGGGGACCCCGAGUGCCAGCACCUAGUGCUGGCUGUCCUGCUGUCUAAAUAACAGUGGUUAGCAAGGGCCGGGCAAGACCGGUGCCAGCCGCCGCGGUAACACCGGCGGCCCGAGUGGUAACCGUUUUUAUUGGGUUUAAAGGGUCCGUAGCCGGCUUAUUAAGUCUCUUGGGAAAUCUGGCGGCUCAAUCGUCAGGCGGCCAAGAGAUACUGGUAGGCUUGGGACCGGGAGAGGUGGGAGGUACUCCAGGGGUAGGGGUGAAAUCUCGUAAUCCUUGGGGGACCACCGAUGGCGAAGGCAUCCCACCAGAACGGGUCCGACGGUGAGGGACGAAAGCUGGGGGCACGAACCGGAUUAGAUACCCGGGUAGUCCCAGCUGUAAACGAUGCUCGCUAGGUGUCAGGUGCGGUGCGACCGCAUCUGGUGCCGCAGUGAAAACUUGAAGCGAGUCACCUGGGAAGUACGGUCGCAAGGCUGAAACUUAAAGGAAUUGGCGGGGGAGCACUACAACGGGUGGAGCCUGCGGUUCAAUUGGACUCAACGCCGGAAA